UACGUAGGGUGCGAGCGUUGUCCGGAAUUAUUGGGCGUAAAGGGCUCGUAGGCGGUUUGUCGCGUCGGGAGUGAAAACACCGGGCUUAACUCGGUGCUUGCUUUCGAUACGGGCAGACUAGAGGCAUGCAGGGGAGAACGGAAUUCCUGGUGUAGCGGUGAAAUGCGCAGAUAUCAGGAGGAACACCGGUGGCGAAGGCGGUUCUCUGGGCAUGUCCUGACGCUGAGGAGCGAAAGUGUGAGGAGCGAACAGG
rnacentral:rRNA from 1 species